CGACGACAUGGCAGGCGAGGACACCGACCCCAAGUCCAGCGCUUCUGUUGCUGCUGUCCCGGAAAACACAUAAAGAAGGACAAGUAUAUAUGCUAUGCCACGUCCAUGGAGUCCGACGCGCGCGCCGGACGGCAACGGCAACGGGCCGGAGAGAAAGGCGACGGCCGGGCUGUCGCGAUCCAGGUGCGUCAAACCUUCACCGUUGCUGGUGACGCGGCAAAAGCCAACAACUGUCGCGCUUGUGCUCGUUAUUCCCCACCCUAGCUACCUAUGUGUUCUCCAAUUCGUCAUUGUCUAGUCAUUUGAUUUGCUUUGCUUUGCCCUUUGGAAUCUUGAUGAGUUGACGCUUCACAGUGGUAGGCCGAUUAUAUUGCUCGAAUAACGUUGGAGGGAUGUGGACCAUCUGUUAGGACUAAUCUUGAUAUUAUUGUAUCAGCAUUUUAGUUUGGUUUUUCGUCAUGCAUGUAACUUAGGUGAUCUAGGGAGUAGCUAGUCAUCAAGACUUUAGUUGAGUGCACAGAGAAGGCGAGAUGUCGGGCUGCCGUGCGAUGCGACAAGCAAGGUGGGAUGCCGAUGGCGGCGAGAGGCUGCCGUGCUGUGUGAUACGGCAUCGUCGUGUGAUGCGGCGAGUCGCACGAGGAGCUGGAGACCACUCUGGAUGACCAAGAGAAUUGGGUGAGCUAGUCGUUAGCUGCAUGCAUAGGUUAGUUGGUGAGCUAGCUAAAAGAUAGGUUAGUUGAUUGGCAUGGACUGAGUGAUUCAGUCAUCGGGUGCAUGCUAGUUGCGUCUGUUUGUGUAGUGGACGGUUGGCCGGCCGAGUUAUCCGCAGCAGCGAGCGACUCCAGGAGGUGAAGGUGGACGUGCGUACGUGGGAUUAGUUUCCCAGAGAUGUGGCUGGCUAGUACGUGCGUGGGUCGAGUCCCCUGUGUAUAUAUGUUGCACUUUGAGUUAAUGAAAGGAAAGGCCGUGAGGGCUAGAGCAGCAACAUGUAGCCACUGUAUUAAUCAAGGACGGAGCCUCUCGGCAAAGCUAGCGGAUGGUCUGUUCCUUGGUCUACCUGUGUGUGUAGUGUGCGUUCAGGUGUUCUUGAGAGAAACCAUAGAAAAAAGAAGAGAGAGUUGUGCGAGGCAGCUCGAGGUAGAAGAAGAAGAGCGGCGCUGCGAGGAGGCGGCGCCGACACCAUCCACGCAUAAAAUCUGGAGGGCAUCAUAUCCAUCUUUCAUAGCUACGGCCCAAUCAAGAUCUAGGAGAGCUGAUUUGUAAGAUUUGGGUAGAGAGGAAGGAGAUAAAGAUGCAUGAAGAUUAAGACGAUCUUUUGCAGGUAAACGAAACCCGGACUUGGCACGUGUGCACAUGGUAUGAUCGUUAGUAGGAGCUGAAACGGGAAUAGCAUGAGCAGGAGGGGUGGGGGAAGAUAUGGUGAACGCGUCCGACACAACGGAGGAAGCGGACGCGGGAGAUGGCGGUGAAGACUGCGGCGGCAGGAGGUCUGCCGCGUCAGAGUGUAACGUGUUUUCCUCUGCCAGGACAGAGGUGGUGACAGAAGUGGCGGGGGCAGGAUCCGCUACUGCGGCUGGUUUCGCUGGAUAGGUCAGCGGGUGAAAGAAGGGAAGAUGAUUCCGAGGAGAGGGACUAGUGGACGGCGUGGAUGAGUUGGGAUCUAAUUGUUGAUGCUCGGAAAAGGUAAAAAUGUUUUCAGCAAAUGUUAUAUGACGAGACACAUGAACACGACCACUAACAAGAUCUAGACAAUGAUAACCCUUGUGCUCGUCACAAAAACCUAGAUGGACACACGGGAUAGAGCGUGUGGAAAGUUUGUUAGGAGAAGUGGAGUAGGAGUUUGGGAAACAAAGACAAUCGAAGACGCGAACGUCGGAGUAAUUUGGAUGAGAGAGAAAUAAAGAGAAGUAAGGAGUAGUUUGUGGGUUAACUUUAGAUGAACGAAUAUUGAGUAAAUAUGUGGCCGUGUGGAGUGCCUCUGCCCAGAACAUCGAAGGCAUAGAAGAUUGAACAAGCAGAGUGCGAAUAAUGUCAUUAAGAGUACGAAGAGAACGCUCGGCUUUGCCGUUUUGAGGGAAGGUAUAAGUACAUGAGAAACGCAAGAGAAUUCCAUAUUGUAGAAAGAAAUUUUGAUUUUUAAAGUUGUCAAAUUCACUAUCAUUAUCACAUUGUAUGAAUCUUAUAGGAAGGAAAAAGUGGAUCGAGACAUAUCGCUGAAAGUUAAGGAAUAUAUUAUGAACAUCGGAUUUGUUGCGUAAAGGAAAAGUCCAAACAUAAUGAGUAAAAUCAUCAAGAAUCACGAGAUAAUACUUAAAACUAGAUACUUUCUAUUGGUGAUGUCCAGAGAUCACAAUGAAAUAAUUCAAAAGGAAAAGUACUAGAGGAUUGAGAGGAACUAAAGGGAAGGCAAACAUGUUUGCCCAAUUGACAUGACUGACACAUAGAAGAAUUAUGAAAGUCUUUAUUAUGAGGUAUUGAAAAUUCACUAAGAAGUGUGGAUAACACAUUUUUAUUGGGAUGGCCGAGACGUUGGUGUCACAUAUCAACAGAGGCCACCAUAGAUGUUGGAGGAGCAGUGGCUGGAACACCAUGGAAAGAAUAUAAAUCACCGGAGCUAUUGAAUCGUGCGAUCUCGACCUUGGUCCGGUAGUCUUUCACAGACAAACCAAAGGGGUCAAACUCAACAGAAACAAGAUUAUCAGUGGUGAUUUGGCGAACAGAAAUAAGAUUUUUAAUAAAGGCAGGAGCUAAAAGAACAUCACGAAGAAGCAAAGCCUUAGUUGGGGAUUGGAUUUGAGCCUGACCGACACAGUAAAUAGGAAAGAAAGAUCCAUCACCGAGACUAAUAGAGGGAAAAGAUGAAGGUGUGCAAGAAGAAAACAAAUUACUCGAUGCAGACAUAUGACGAGAAGCACCAGAAUCGAAAAUCCAAUCCGUACCUGAGUUUCCUUGUGCAGCAAAGUUGUUUAUGGCCUAUAGAAAAACAGCUUGGUCCCAGCUCGGAGUCGAAGUAGAGGCCGGUGUAGUCAUGGGAACUUGUGGGUGUGGUGGUGUCGAUAGUCGGGCCGACAUAGACGUAAAGAGAGAGACACCAUCAUUGUACUGCUGCAUGUAGGGGACGAGGAAGUUUCGCAUUUGUGUAUGCAAGUGCUGAUAAUUGGUUGUGAUUCCUAAGCCCCUGUUGGUUCAAUAAUCCUUGAGGUCAUUUGAGAAAAAUUGUGGCUUGCUACAAACCUUGCA